GAGCGCGGGGCGCGGCGGCGGCACCAGGCGGUUCGACUGGAGCCCUGCGUCAGCCGGCGGCACGCGCACACCUGCCCGCCGCCGCUACCGGCCGCGUCAUUGGCUGCCGGCGCCGAGCGCGCGAGAUUGAACCUUCCAUUCAUUCCAGGGCCGGGCGGGCGCGCGCGGCCACGGUGGAGCUUUACCGCGGGCGCCCCCGAACCCCCGAAGCGCGUCCCCGCGCAGGCCGUGGGCGCGCACGGCCGCUGCCGCCGUUUGUUCUGGUGGAGGCUGCGAGUGCCUGGGCCUGUGACUCCCGGCUCUCCGCGCGCAGCGUCAGUCUGGGAGGGAAGCUCACAUGGCGGUCCCUAGGGUGCGACUGGAGGGAGGCGGGACGAUGCUACUCCUUGCUCCCCAGCCUGACACCUUGGUGCGGUAAAACUGUAAGAAGGUAACAAAAUCAUAUCUGAAGCCCAGGUCUUCUUUUCUUUUACUACAGAUGCCCUGGACAUCAUUCCGAACAGCACAGUUCAAGGGUGGCUGAAACAACAAAAAUGUAACGUCUUACCGAUCUGAAGGCUUCCGGGUCGAUUCUGGACUGUGAUGAGAAUCUGUGCCAUGCCUCUCUCCUGGCUUCUGGUAGACCCGGGCAUUCCUUAGCUUGUAAAUGGCUGCUGCUUGUGUCAUCACAUUGUCUUCCCUUUCUACUUAUCUGUCCCCAUGCCCCAAUUUUUCCUUUUCAGGACGCCAGUCAGAUUAGGACCCACCCUAAUGAUCUCAUCUUAACAAGGACCCUAUUUUUAAGCACACAUUUACAGAGACUGGGGGGUAGGACUUCAACAUCUUUUUGGAGGGAUGCAGUUCAACCCAUAACAAGAAUCAUUGUUAGAAAUGAUUUUGCUUCUUCACUGAAAAAUUAAUAUCAUUCUGCAGAGAACUGACUUGCUGCACAUGGCACAGAUUUUUUGCAUUUAUCAUAGUAAAAGAAAUCAGUCACAAAAGUUUGUUUUAGACUGCUACAUACCUAUCACAAAUACAAAUUAUUUCCAACAUCAAAAGUUAAUAAAGCAAGCACUGUCACCCAAA